GGGAUAACUCCGGGAAACCGGGGCUAAUACCGGAUGGUUGUUUGAACCGCAUGGUUCAAACAUAAAAGGUGGCUUCGGCUACCACUUACAGAUGGACCCGCGGCGCAUUAGCUAGUUGGUGAGGUAACGGCUCACCAAGGCGACGAUGCGUAGCCGACCUGAGAGGGUGAUCGGCCACACUGGGACUGAGACACGGCCCAGACUCCUACGGGAGGCAGCAGUAGGGAAUCUUCCGCAAUGGACGAAAGUCUGACGGAGCAACGCCGCGUGAGUGAUGAAGGUUUUCGGAUCGUAAAG
rnacentral:rRNA from 1 species